GCGGGAGAACCCAGGGCCCCAAAACCUGAAGGGUGGCUGCGCAGGACUCGUCCCGCGAGGGGCAGGCAGGACCUAAGGUGAGGCAGAAAGGCGUAAUGGAUGGCAAGGAGGUUUAUAGUCCCUAACUAGGCAAGGCUUAGUGCUGAUGGACGAACAAAUAAGACUCGGCACAAUGGCCUUCCUUGGCAGGAAGGAACAACCCAUUGUUGUUUGAUGGUAUUUUUUCCAAGAAAAGCUCAUUCGACUUUGAGUCUAGAUUACCUGUACCGUAAACCGACACAGGUGAGUGGGUUGAAUAAACUAAGGGGAGCGAGAUAACUCUCUCUAAGGAACUCGGCAAAUUGGCUCUGUACCUUCGGAAGAAAGAGUGCCCCUCAGGGGGCCGCAGUGAAGAGAUCCAGGCGACUGUUUACCAAAAACACAGGUCUCCGCAAAGUCGUAAGACGACGUAUGGGGGCUGACACCUGCCCAGUGCCAGAAGGUUAAAGAAGUUGGUUAGCAUUAGCGAAGCUGAUAACUGAAGCCCCGGUGAACGGCGGCCGUAACUAUAACGGUCCUAAGGUAGCGAAAUUCCUUGUCGGGUAAGUUCCGACCCGCACGAAAGGUGUAACGAUCUGGAUACUGUCUCAGAGAGAGACUCGGUGAAAUAAAACUAUCUGUGAAGAUGCGGAUUACCUGCACACGGACAGAAAGACCCUAUGAAGCUUUACUGUAACCUGGAAUUGCUCUCAAGCUUAUUUUGCGCAGCUUAGGUGGGAGGCUAUGAACCUUUUCUUCUGGGAAGAGGGGAGCCAUCAGUGAGAUACCACUCUUGGUAAGCUAGAGCGCUCAGUCUUCACCGUCAUCCGGUAAGACGACAGUUUCAGGCGGGCAGUUUGACUGGGGCAGUCACCUCCCAAAAGGUAAUGGAGGUGUGCAAAGGUUCCCUCAGGCUGGACGGAAAUCAGCCAUAGAGUGUAAAAGCAUAAGGGAGCUUGACUGCGAGACUGACAUGUCAAGCAGAGACGAAAGUCGGCUUUAGUGAUCCGACGGUGCUGUGUGGAAAGGCCGUCGCUCAACGGAUAAAAGUUACUCUAGGGAUAACAGGCUAAUCUCCCCCAAGAGUUCACAUCGACGGGGAGGUUUGGCACCUCGAUGUCGGCUCGUCGCAUCCUGGAGCGGAAGUACGUUCCAAGGGUUGGGCUGUUCGCCCAUAGAAAGCGGCACGCGAGCUGGGUUCAGAACGUCGUGAGACAGUUUGGUCCAUAUCCUGUGUAGGCGUUUAGAGCAUUGAAAGGAUCUCCCCUUUGUACGAGAGGACCAGGUGGGGACAGACCGCUAGUGUACCAGUUAUCCCGCCAGGGGUAAACGCUGGGUAGCUAUGUCUGGAGUAAAUAACUGCUGAAAGCAUAUAAGUAGGAAGUUCACCUUAAGAUGAGUGCUCUUUUGUCUCAACCGUUCAGUUUUACUGGCAAAUGAAAGACAAGGAAGGUCACGGCAAGACGAGCCGUUUGAUAGGCAUGAAGUAGAAGUGCAGUAAUGCAUUCUGAAGCUGACAUGUGCUAAUAGACCGAGGGAUUUGAUUUU
rnacentral:rRNA from 1 species